rnacentral:rRNA from 1 species
GGACGAACGCUGGCGGCGUGCUUAACACAUGCAAGUCGAACGGAAAGGCCCUUCGGGGUACUCGAGUGGCGAACGGGUGAGUAACACGUGGGUGAUCUGCCCUGCACUUUGGGAUAAGCCUGGGAAACUGGGUCUAAUACCGAAUAUACCUCGCUGGUUGCAUGACCUGGUGGGGGAAAGCUUUUGCGGUGUGGGAUGGGCCCGCGGCCUAUCAGCUUGUUGGUGGGGUGAUGGCCUACCAAGGCGACGACGGGUAGCCGGCCUGAGAGGGUGACCGGCCACACUGGGACUGAGAUACGGCCCAGACUCCUACGGGAGGCAGCAGUGGGGAAUAUUGCACAAUGGGCGCAAGCCUGAUGCAGCGACGCCGCGUGGGGGAUGACGGCCUUCGGGUUGUAAACCUCUUUCAGUAGGGACGAAGCGCAAGUGACGGUACCUACAGAAGAAGGACCGGCCAACUACGU